AUUGAACGCUGGCGGCAUGCCUAACACAUGCAAGUCGAGCGGAGCGGCGGACGGGUGAGUAAUGCCUAGGAAUCAGCCUGUUAGUGGGGGAUAACGUCCGGGAACGGGCGCUUAUACCGCAUGCUAUCAGGUGAGCCUAGGUCGGAUUAGCUAGUUGGUGGGGUAAAGGCCUACCAAGUCGACGAUCCAUAGCUGGUCUGAGAGGAUGAUCAGUCACACUGGAACUGAGACACGGUCCAGACUCCUACGGGAGGCAGCAGUGGGGAAUAUUGGACAAUGGGCGAAAGUCUGAUCCAGCCAUGCCGCGUGUGUGAAGAAGGUCUUCGGAUUGUAAAGCACUUUAAGUUGAGAGGCGUUACCAACAGAAUAAGCACCGGCUAACUUCGUGCCAGCAGCCGCGGUAAUAC
rnacentral:rRNA from 1 species